AUUGAACGCUGGCGGCAGGCCUAACACAUGCGAGUCGAGCGGAUGAAGGGAGCUUGCUCCUGGAUUCAGCGGCGGACGGGUGAGUAAUGCCUAGGAAUCUGCCUGGUAGUGGGGGAUAACGUCCGGAAACGGGCGCUAAUACCGCAUACGUCUUGAGGGAGAAAGUGGGGGAUCUUCGGACCUCACGCUAUCAGAUGAGCCUAGGUCGGAUUAGCUAGUUGGUGGGGUAAAGGCCUACCAAGGCGACGAUCCGUAACUGGUCUGAGAGGAUGAUCAGUCACACUGGAACUGAGACACGGUCCAGACUCCUACGGGAGGCAGCAGUUGGGAAUAUUGGACAAUGGGCGAAAGCCUGAUCCAGCCAUGCCGCGUGUGUGAAGAAGGUCUUCGGAUUGUAAAGCACUUUAAGUUGGGAGGAAGGGCAGUAAGUUAAUACCUUGCUGUUUUGACGUUACCAACAGAAUAAGCACCGGCUAACUUCGUG
rnacentral:rRNA from 1 species